rnacentral:lncRNA from 1 species
UUUUGACUCUUUAUGUCAACAAUCUUCUUACGGAAGAAGCCAUCAUACCUGUACCCAUAAAAGAAAGAUUCCAGGGAUAUUAUUCCCCCCUGUUCUUGGUCAAGAAGCCAGAGGGCAAAUGGAGGCCUAUUUUAGAUCUCCACCAGCUCAACCUUUAUCUGAGAGUCAGAAAAUUCUGGAUGGAAUCCAUUCGCUCCAUCAUUCCGGUUGUUCAUCACCAAGAUUGGAUGAUAUCAGUAGACCUCAGGGAUGCAUAUUUUCAUGUCCCUAUCACGUUCACCCAUCAAAGGUUUCUCAGGUUUUGUGUCCGGAAGGAACACUUUCAAUUUCAG